rnacentral:rRNA from 1 species
UACAGAGGGGGCAAGCGUUAUUCGGAAUUAUUGGGCGUAAAGGGCGCGUAGGCGGCCUGGCAAGUGACGGGUGAAAUCCCUCGGCUUAACCGAGGAACUGCCUGUCAGACUGCUUGGCUUGAGACCGGGAGAGGUGAGUGGAAUUCCCAGUGUAGCGGUGAAAUGCGUAGAUAUUGGGAGGAACACCAGUGGCGAAGGCGGCUCACUGGACCGGAACUGACGCUGAUGCGCGAAAGCGUGGGGAGCAAACAGG